UACGUAGGGCGCAAGCGUUUGUCCGGAAUUAUUGGGCGUAAAGAGCUCGUAGGCGGUUUGUCGCGUCUGCUGUGAAAACUCGAGGCUCAACCUCGGGCUUGCAGUGGGUACGGGGCAGACUAGAGUGCGGUAGGGGUGACUGGAAUUCCUGGUGUAGCGGUGGAAUGCGCAGAUAUCAGGAGGAACACCGAUGGCGAAGGCAGGUCACUGGGCCGCAACUGACGCUGAGGAGCGAAAGCAUGGGGGAGCGAACAGG
rnacentral:rRNA from 1 species